rnacentral:rRNA from 1 species
AUGUCGUCAGAUGCAGGAACAGCUGGGACUUCCAAUUCCGUGGCACCAGCAGCCGCGCAAUCCGGCGGAGGAAACAACUCGAGCCAACAUGUGGUGAUCUCCGAGGCACGUCAGCCAUUCCGUGCUGUGAACGAGGACCUGUUCACACCCUUGAGCGUGUCGAUCGGACCCUACCAUCGUGCUAGUUGCUCAGAUAGAUGGAAGCAAGAGAAGAAGCGCGUGGCCGAGGAGACCGUGAAGUAUCUCCAGGAUUCGCGUGGCCAGGAAGCAGCGCAUCAGCUCGAGGAGAAGGUUGGGCAGCUGGUGGAGGAUGUGAGGGGGUGUUACGGCGGUUUGCCCGACAUGAAAUCCGAGGAGUUGGUCAGCAUGCUGCUGCAUGAUGGGUGCUACGUGCUCAAGUUCUUCGUACAAUACCCUGGACAUCCGGAUGUCAGUCCGCCCAGAGGCGAGGACAACACGGUGAUGCGCGACAUCAUGUACCUCCUUGAGAACCAGUUGCCUAUGAUCGUCCUUAAACGGAUCCAUCAGUGCCUGGUGCCUGAGAGAUCCGUCGUCAACGACGUAGAAGACCGUGUUCUGGGACUGCUGAGUGCACAGCUCUACAUCAGAGGAGUAAAGAAGCGGCGGCAGGCGGUGCCUUCUCACCUCCUGGAACUGGUGCACACCUACUUCCAGCCACGAUUGGACCACUCUUCCAUUUCCGUAGAUUCUGCUGAACAAUCGGAAUCUCACCAGCAGAGAAGUGCAACUAGAAACAAUGUUCAGAAUGACGCUGAAGUCACGGGUAAUACGCGCCGUUGCAUGGGGCGGUGGCGCCGGGCGACAGAGUACAGCAGGUACGGCGACGUGCAGCUCAAGCGUCAGGAGUUCGCGGCCGGUGUGGUGGAAUCCAUUCUUGACGUGAGUCUUGAAGGAAGGACGCUGUUGAUCCCACGCCUGCGGAUUGUUAGCAGCACUUGGACGAUCCUACGCAAUCUGAUGGCGCUAGAGGAGCAGACAGGCGGAGACGGGAGCCCCGUCACAGCCUACUGCCUGUUCAUGUCGCAGCUGGCGUCUAAGGUGGAGGACAUUGAGCUCCUGAAGCGCAAAGAGAUCGUCGAUCACUAUUGGGGUAACGACGAGGAGGUCGCACAAGGCUUCGCCGACCUCUGCAAGAAGGUGGUCUUGGACGUCGACGACGUCGACAGUAACUACCUAGGCCACAUAUGGCACCGGCUGCAUGAGCGCUGCGAGAGCCUGGGGCACAACUGCUUGGGAUCAUUCCGCCAAAGGCACUGCGGCGACUCCAUGCGCAUCCUUGCAUUCGUCACCGCUGGCUUACUGUUUGCUUUUCAGCUGAUUCAGGUCAUCCUUACCGGUUUCUCCUUACGACAACAAGGCAAGUAA